rnacentral:rRNA from 1 species
GUGGGGAAUCUUCCGCAAUGGACGAAAGUCUGACGGAGCAACGCCGCGUGAGUGAUGAAGGUCUUCGGAUUGUAAAGCUCUGUUAAUCGGGACGAAAGAGCCUAGUGUGAAUAAUGCUAGGAAGUGACGGUACCGGAAUAGAAAGCCACGGCUAACUACGUGCCAGCAGCCGCGGUAAUACGUAGGUGGCAAGCGUUGUCCGGAAUUAUUGGGCGUAAAGCGCGCGCAGGCGGAUCUGCCAGUCUGUCUUAAAAGUUCGGGGCUUAACCCCGUGAUGGGAUGGAAACUACAGGUCUAGAGUAUCGGAGAGGAAAGUGGAAUUCCUAGUGUAGCGGUGAAAUGCGUAGAUAUUAGGAAGAACACCAGUGGCGAAGGCGACUUUCUGGACGAAAACUGACGCUGAGGCGCGAAAGCCAGGGGAGCGAACGGGAUUAGAUACCCUAGUAGUCC